rnacentral:lncRNA from 10 species
ACGGGGUUUCACCAUGUUAGCCAGGAUGGUCUCAAUCUCCUCACCUCGUGAUCUGCCUGCCUCAGCCUCCGAAAAUGCUGGAAUUACAGGCGUGAGCCACUGCGCCUGGCCCACCCAGCCUAUAUUUCUGAAGACAGGCUAUAAAGGAGACUAACCAAGAAAACAACUUUACAAUGGCCAAGAGGGUGCAGAAAUUGCUGGAGAAUGGGUUUGAACUGCCAAGCCAGUGACUACCGGAAAGAGCGCCAGGUCAGCCAUCACAUCUGCAGGAAGCAGGAAGCAAGAGAUGAUGGGAGGGGGAUGUACCUCCCAGCUGAGUCGCACACAUUUGCUGAACCUUCUUGGAUGGUCCACACAACACUCCUGCUUGUACCUCAUUGGCCAGAAUUAGUCCCAGGGUCACUCCUGGCUUCGAGGAAGGCUAAAGACUUUUAGCACAACAUAUUGCCACCCUAAAUAAAAUCUGGAUUUUAUUACCAAGAAAAAAAAGAGAAGAGCAGCUAUUGAGUAAGCAGCAGAGUAUCUGCCACAUUCCUCGUCCAUAAAAUAGAAAUAAUAUUAAUACCUAACUUAUGGAAUUGAUGCGAGUAUUCAAGGAUAUAAUGCAGGUAAAUGUCUUAGCACAGUGCCAGAGUGGACAUUUGAUCAAUGUUAGCAAUAACAAUAUUUAUUGCUAUAUAGUAAUUUGACUGUAAUAGACUAUUCUAUGACAAACAGGAAAAAGAAACAAUCUUUUUAACUUCCUUUCUCUAGUUUCACAUAGUUACCUGAAGCCCCGUAUAAAUUCACUCAGAUAAACUUAGGAAUGAAAUUUCUACUAUUAUUGUUUUGUUUCAAAUGGAGUAUUUGCUUAGUAUAGAAUAGCUGUUUAUAAAUCUAGCAAUUAAUAGGUAUUAAAACCAUGUAAUUACACUCUGGAUUUUCUUGCACUGUCCACAUUUUUACACAGCUUCAUUCACUUCAAUCUAACAAAUGUAUAAAUAAAUGUGAUUUACUUUUUAUGUCUAAGAUCCACAUCCUAUUAAACAAUGCAACC